rnacentral:rRNA from 1 species
UACAGAGGGGGCGAGCGUUGUCCGGAAUCACUGGGCGUAAAGGGCGCGUAGGCGGCUUGAUAAGCGUGCGGUGAAAGCCCGGGGCUCAACCCCGGGUCGGCCGUGCGAACUGUCGAGCUGGAGCACUGUAGAGGCAGGUGGAAUUCCGGGUGUAGCGGUGGAAUGCGUAGAGAUCCGGAAGAACACCGGUGGCGAAGGCGGCCUGCUGGGCAGUGGCUGACGCUGAGGCGCGACAGCGUGGGGAGCAAACAGG